UGGGGAAUAUUGGACAAUGGGGGCAACCCUGAUCCAGCCAUGCCGCGUGUGUGAAGAGGGCCUUUGGUUGUAAAGCACUUUAAGCAGGGAGGAGAGGCUAAUGGUUAAUACCCAUUAGAUUAGACGUUACCUGCAGAAUAAGCACCGGCUAACUCUGUGCCAGCAGCCGCGGUAAUACAGAGGGUGCGAGCGUUAAUCGGAAUUACUGGGCGUAAAGCGAGUGUAGGUGGCUCAUUAAGUCACAUGUGAAAUCCCCGGGCUUAACCUGGGAACUGCAUGUGAUACUGGUGGUGCUAGAAUAUGUGAGAGGGAAGUAGAAUUCCAGGUGUAGCGGUGAAAUGCGUAGAGAUCUGGAGGAAUACCGAUGGCGAAGGCAGCUUCCUGGCAUAAUAUUGACACUGAGAUUCGAAAGCGUGGGUAGCAAACAGG
rnacentral:rRNA from 1 species